rnacentral:rRNA from 1 species
GACGAACGCUGGCGGCGUGCUUAACACAUGCAAGUCGAACGAAGUGGCGAACGGUUGAGUAACGCGUAAUCAACCUGCCCUUCAGAGGGGGACAACAGUUGGAUACGACUGCUAAUCCCGCAUACUGAAGGAGGGGAUUGCGUCUGAUUAGCUAGUUGGAGGGGUAACGGCCCACCAAGGCGAUGAUCAGUAGCCUGUCUGAGAGGAUGAACGGCCACAUUGGGACUGAGACACGGCCCAGACUCCUACGGGAGGCAGCAGUGGGGAAUCUCCCGCAAUGGACGAAAGUCUGACGGAGCAACGCCGCGUGAGUGAUGACGGCCUUCGGGUUGUAAAGCUCUGUUAAUCGGGACGCGGUACCGGAAUAGAAAGCCACGGCUAACUACGUGCCAGCAGCCGCGGUAAUUG